rnacentral:rRNA from 1 species
AUUGAACGCUGGCGGCAUGCCUUACACAUGCAAGUCGAACGGUAACGGGCCUUCGGGCGCCGACGAGUGGCGAACGGGUGAGUAAUGUAUCGGAACGUACCUUUCAGUGGGGGAUAACGUAACGAAAGUUACGCUAAUACCGCAUAUUCUGUGAGCAGGAAAGCAGGGGAUCGCAAGACCUUGCGCUGAUUGAGCGGCCGAUAUAAGAUUAGCUAGUUGGUGAGGUAAAGGCUCACCAAGGCGACGGUCUGUAGCGGGUCUGAGAGGAUGAUCCGCCACACUGGAACUGAGACACGGUCCAGACUCCUACGGGCGGCAGCAGUGGGGAAUUUUGGACAAUGGGGGCAACCCUGAUCCAGCCAUGCCGCGUGGGUGAAGAAGGCCUUCGGGUUGUAAAGCUCUUUCGGCCGGGAAGAAAUCGUAUCAGCUAAUACCUGGUGCGGAUGACGGUACCGGCAUAAGAAGCACCGGCUAACUACGUGCCAGCCGCCGCCGUAAAAC